rnacentral:tRNA from 1 species
UGCCGUGUGGCUCAGUUGGUAGGUAGAGUAUGGCACUUGCAAUGCCAGGGUUGUGGGUUCAAUUCCCACGGGGCAC